GAUCGGCCACAUUGGAACUGAGACACGGUCCAAACUCCUACGGGAGGCAGCAGUGGGGAAUAUUGCACAAUGGGCGAAAGCCGGAUGCAGCAACGCCGCGUGAGUGAUGAAGGCCUUCGGGUCGUAAAACUCUGUCCUCAAGGAAGAUAAUGACGGUACUGGAGGAGGAAGCCCCGGCUAACUACGUGCCAGCAGCCGCGG
rnacentral:rRNA from 1 species